rnacentral:rRNA from 1 species
GACGAACGCUGGCGGCGUGCUUAACACAUGCAAGUCGAGCGGUAAGGCCCUUUCGGGGGUACACGAGCGGCGAACGGGUGAGUAACACGUGGGUGACCUGCCCUCAGCUCUGGGAUAAGCCUGGGAAACUGGGUCUAAUACCGGAUAUGACUUCACAUCGCAUGGUGUGUUGUGGAAAGUUUUUUCGGCUGGGGUGGGCCCGCGGCCUAUCAGCUUGUUGGUGGGGUGAUGGCCUACCAAGGCGACGACGGGUAGCCGGCCUGAGAGGGCGACCGGCCACACUGGGACUGAGACACGGCCCAGACUCCUACGGGAGGCAGCAGUGGGGAAUAUUGCGCAAUGGGCGGAAGCCUGACGCAGCGGCGCCGCGUGGGGAUGACGGCCUCGGUUGU